rnacentral:tRNA from 1 species
GUCAAUUUGGCCGAGUGGUUAAGGCGUAUGACUUGAAUAUCGAUAAAUCUACACGUAGAUUUUAUUGUUCAUGGUUAUCAUAUCUCUUCGGAGGCACAGGUUCGAACCCUGUAGUUGACG